rnacentral:lncRNA from 1 species
CAUGAAGCCAGCACGUUGGGGAGACACCGUGUCACAAUGACAAGCUCGGUUUCCCUCCAGAGCAUCACGCCUCCUCCAGCACAGGAGCCGCCUGCUUUCCUAGGCUGCUGUGGAACUGGCCUGAGGUCCCAGACGCUGUCCAUUGUGCUGCCGCCCUCCGCGCUCUCCAGCCAGAGCGCCAGUUCACCGGCUUUUGGGAGAACUCCGCCGCCUCACCUGCCCGCGGACAAGGUCACAGCUUUGCAGGGGGUUGACAUGGGCUGUGGCUUCCUGGAAAUGUCACCCUCACCAGAGCCUUUUACAUGGAUGUGAAUUUUGAGACAUGAAGGAGGGUAAUUAUUGGUUUACCCAGGAGAUGCUAAGAGCAGAGGAGAAAACCCUAAUUUCCAGGCAUGUGACUUGAGCCAGGGACAGGCUAGCCAGACCCUGAGCCCCCAGUGCCGCCAGAGAGCAGCCUAUUGCCCUGGUUUCUGUGGAAGUCUCUUCAUGCUGCUGGGCCUUAGCCUCAGGGACAGCUCAGUCAGGUGAGGGUGGGGAUGACCCAUGGGCUUCUGGAGCUGGGCUGGUGGUCCUGGAAGGGCCGGCCCAUGCCCCUUGGAGAGGGUCUUUGUGCUGAGGGAUGCCCACAGAGGCCUGGGUACCAGGAACACUGCUCCAGGCAAGGGGCCUUUCUUCCAGAUUUGGCUGGAAGGAAGACUUGGUCAGCUUUUCCACCUUGCAGGGCUGCACCCCAUGGACCUGGGUUCCUGGAGUCUUUGACGGCUUUGUGUGGUCGACUUGUUUUGAUACUGAGGACACCCCUGCUGGCUGUUAAUUUCAGGGCAAGGGAUAUGAGGCCAUUAUUUUAAGUGAAAUAACUCAAGAAUGGAAAAUAAAAUACUAUUAUUUUUCACUUAUAAGUGGGAGUUAAGCUAUGCGUAUGCAAAGGCAUACAGAGUGAUGUAAUGGACUUUGGAGACUCAGAAGCAGAGAGUGGGAGGUGGAUGAGGGAUGAAAAAACUACCUAUUUGGUACAAUAUAAACUACUCAGGUGACAGGUGCACUAAAAUCUCAGAAUUCACUGCUAUAUAAUUCAUCCACGUAACCAAAAACCACUUGUACUGUAAGUGAUACUGAAAUAAAAAUUAUAAUAAAGCAAAUUUAUAAUAAAAUUAAAAUUAUACUUACAUAAUUAUAAUAUAAACAAAAAUUAUAAUAAGGAGCAGCUUUUUUUUUUUUUUCUUAAAAAGAAAAACCCAGUGCCACAGUUUUGGGUUCUAGUGUUUUGGAUAGAAAGCCCCUUUUGCUCAGUAACACACUCACUACUGGAGAAGCAAAAUCCUGAAAAUUCAAGAAGAACCUUGGCAUAAACGAUAUUUCUGACAAGUUAUUUAUACACUGCCUACAUGAGUAUUGCAGAUAUGUUUUAAAGACAAAGAUCCAUGUAGACUGGGUCAGCUUUAUGCUUGGUCAUUUUAUUUCCAAUUCUUCUCCCCUAAAAUACAAGUCAUGGGUUGCCAUGGUGAUUAUUCCAACUGCAUUGUGGUCAGAUGGAACUGGUGACCUGUUCUAAUUUCCCCUUCAGUUACAAAAUGAGCCCGAUGCUCUUAGCCAUCAAAAUCUCACCAACACCUACUACUUCAGUUUCAACUCUGGUUCCUUUUUCAAGGCAAUCACUCAAAGUUGCAAAUCACAGAAAGGCAAAAAUGUUUUAACUAAAAACUUAAUAAAAAGUUAUACCCCCCCUGAAGCCAUGUAAUUUGGGUUUUAUUUAUUUUAUUGUCUAUUCAGGUCCAUAAACCUACAACUGUAACAAUAUA